rnacentral:misc_RNA from 2 species
UGUGGGAGCGAGCUUGCUCGCGAUAGCGGUGGUUCAGUUGGCCUCUGUAUUGACUGACAUACCGCCAUCGCGAGCAAGCUCGCUCCCACA